UACGUAGGCAGCAAGCGUUGUUCGGGAUUACUGGGCGUAAAGAGUGUGUAGGCGGUGCUCUAAGUUUGGUGUGAAAUCUCCCGGCUCAACUGGGAGGGUGCGCCGAAAACUGGAAUGCUUGAACAUGGGAGAGGAAAGCGGAAUUCCUGGUGUAGCGGUGAAAUGCGUAGAUAUCAGGAGGAACACCUGCGGUGUAGACGGCUUUCUGGACCAUUGUUGACGCUGAGACACGAAAGCGUGGGUAGCAAACAGG
rnacentral:rRNA from 1 species